rnacentral:rRNA from 1 species
GAUGAACGCUAGCUACAGGCUUAACACAUGCAAGUCGAGGGGAAACGGCAUUUAGUGCUUGCACCGAAUGGACGUCGACCGGCGCACGGGUGAGUAACGCGUAUCCAACCUUCCCAUUACUGUGGGAUAACCUGCCGAAAGGCAGACUAAUACCGCAUAGUCUUCGUUGACGGCAUCAGAUAUGAAGUAAAGAUUUAUCGGUAAUGGAUGGGGAUGCGUCUGAUUAGCUUGUUGGCGGGGUAACGGCCCACCAAGGCGACGAUCAGUAGGGGUUCUGAGAGGAAGGUCCCCCACAUUGGAACUGAGACACGGUCCAAACUCCUACGGGAGGCAGCAGUGAGGAAUAUUGGUCAAUGGACGGAAGUCUGAACCAGCCAAGUAGCGUGCAGGAUGACGGCCCUAUGGGUUGUAAACUGCUUUUGUAUGGGGAUAAAGUUAGGGACGUGUCCCUAUUUGCAGGUACCAUACGAAUAAGGACCGGCUAAUUCCGUGCCAGCAGCCGCGGUAAUACGGAAGGUCCAGGCGUUAUCCGGAUUUAUUGGGUUUAAAGGGAGCGUAGGCUGGAGAUUAAGUGUGUUGUGAAAUGUAGACGCUCAACGUCUGAAUUGCAGCGCAUACUGGUUUCCUUGAGUACGCACAACGUUGGCGGAAUUCGUCGUGUAGCGGUGAAAUGCUUAGAUAUGACGAAGAACUCCGAUUGCGAAGGCAGCUGACGGGAGCGCAACUGACGCUUAAGCUCGAAGGUGCGGGUAUCGAACAGG